rnacentral:pre_miRNA from 1 species
CAACUACUCCCUCUGUCCCAAAUUUCUUGUCUUAGAUUUGUCUAGAUACGGAUGUAUCUAAUACUAAAAUGUGACUUGAUACAUCCGUAUCUAGACAAAACUAAGACACGAAUUUUGGGACGGAGGGAGUACUUU